rnacentral:rRNA from 1 species
CCUACGGGGUGCAGCAGUGGGGAAUCUUGGACAAUGGGCGAAAGCCUGAUCCAGCCAUGCCGCGUGUGUGAAGAAGGUCUUCGGGUUGUAAAGCUCUUUCAGUGGGGAAGAAAGCCUUUGGGCUAAUACCCUCGAGGAAGGACAUCACCCACAGAAGAAGCACCGGCUAACUCCGUGCCAGCAGCCGCGGUAAUACGGAGGGUGCGAGCGUUAAUCGGAAUUACUGGGCGUAAAGCGCGCGUAGGCGGUCUUAUAAGCCGGUUGUGAAAGCCCCGGGCUCAACCUGGGAACGGCAUCCGGAACUGGCAGGCUUGAGUGCAGGAGAGGAAGGUAGAAUUCCCGGUGUAGCGGUGAAAUGCGUAGAGAUCGGGAGGAAUACCAGUGGCGAAGGCGGCCUUCUGGACUGUAACUGACGCUGAGGUGCGAAAGCGUGGGUAGCAAACAGGAUUAGAUACCCUUGUAGUC